AGAGUUUGAUCCUGGCUCAGGAUGAACGCUGGCGGUCUGCUUAACACAUGCAAGUCGAACGGACUCUUCGGAGUUAGUGGCGGACGGGUGAGUAACGCGUGAGAAUCUACCUUCAGGACGGAGACAACAGUUGGAAACGGCUGCUAAUACCGGAUGUGCCGAGAGGUGAAAGCUUAAGUGCCUGGAGAUGAGCUCGCGUCUGAUUAGCUAGUAGGAGUGGUAACGGCACCCCUAGGCGACGAUCAGUAGCUGGUCUGAGAGGAUGAUCAGCCACACUGGGACUGAGACACGGCCCAGACUCCUACGGGAGGCAGCAGUGGGGAAUUUUCCGCAAUGGGCGCAAGCCUGACGGAGCAAGACCGCGUGAGGGAAGAAGGUCUGUGGAUUGUAAACCUCUUUUGAUCGGGAAGAAGACAGUGACGGUACCGAUCGAAUCAGCUCGAUGCCCC
rnacentral:rRNA from 1 species